rnacentral:rRNA from 1 species
UGGGUAAUGACUUAAACCUAUAUGGCCCCUGGAUUGGACUGCGGCCGAUCAGGCUGUUGGUGAGGUAAUGGCCCACCAAACCUGUAACCGGUACGGGCUCUGAGAGGAGGAGCCCGGAGAUGGGCACUGAGACAAGGGCCCAGGCCCUAUGGGGCGCAGCAGGCGCGAAACCUCUGCAAUAGGCGAAAGCUUGACAGGGUUACUCUGAGUGAUCUCCGUUAAGGAGAUCUUUUGGCACCUCUAAAAAUGGUGCAGAAUAAGGGGUGGGCAAGUCUGGUGUCAGCCGCCGCGGUAAUACCAGCACCCCGAGUGGUCGGGACGUUUAUUGGGCCUAAAGCAUCCGUAGCCGGUUCUACAAGUCUUCCGUUAAAUCCACCUGCUUAACAGAUGGGCUGCGGAAGAUACUAUAGAGCUAGGAGGCGGGAGAGGCAAGCGGUACUCGAUGGGUAGGGGUAAAAUCCGUUGAUCCAUUGAAGACCACCAGUGGCGAAGGCGGCUUGCCAGAACGCGCUCGACGGUGAGGGAUGAAAGCUGGGGGAGCAAACCGGAUUAGAUACCCGGGUAGUCCCAGCUGUAAACGAUGCAGACUCGGUGAUGAAUUGGCUUAUUGCUAAUUCAGUGCCGCAGGGAAGCC